rnacentral:rRNA from 1 species
GACCAUCUCCUAAGGCUAAAUACUCUCUAGUGACCGAUAGUGAACCAGUACCGUGAGGGAAAGGUGAAAAGCACCCCGGAAGGGGAGUGAAAUAGAACCUGAAACCGUGUGCUUACAAGUAGUCAGAGCCCGUUAAUGGGUGAUGGCGUGCCUUUUGUAGAAUGAACCGGCGAGUUACGAUUUGAUGCAAGGUUAAGCAGUAAAUGUGGAGCCGUAGCGAAAGCGAGUCUGAAUAGGGCGUUUAGUAUUUGGUCGUAGACCCGAAACCAGGUGAUCUACCCUUGGUCAGGUUGAAGUUCAGGUAACACUGAAUGGAGGACCGAACCGACUUACGUUGAAAAGUG